AAAGCAUGAAUCACCGUUCAUGAAAAAACAUAUGAAUCAGUGAGAAACUGUUGGACCAUAUUUCAAUUUUAAUUUUUGCAGUUUCUAUCUUCAUGGUCCUUUGCCUCCACCUCCUUUCUCUCAAUCUAUCUUGUAUCAAUUUUUUUAGUCACGUUCUCCCCUACAUCGAUUUUGAAUCUUCUGGUGGUCCUAUUACGCACAAAACUCGCCUCUGUUUUUAGUGGUUUUCUUUUGCAUAUCGUUUAGGUUUGUUUCAUAUAUUUUAGUUUUAAAUUAGGGUUGGAAAUCGUUUGAUUGAAUGCUUUGUUUGAGGUUUGAUUGGUCGAAUGGAAAUCAUUAGGUUUGGUUGAAUGAAAAUCAAUUACUAAAAUUGCUUUUAAGGUUUUCUUAUUGAUGAUCUUCUUUGACAGAUUUGGUUGAAAUCAAAAGAUGUUUGACUAAUUUGGUUGUAAUCGGUGUUGAUUUGCAAUUGGCUUUGAAAUGUUUUUCAUCCAGCCACACCAUAAUUCUCCAAUCUGAACAGGGAGAAAUCGAGAUAGAAGGAUCAACACAAAGAAAUUGCAUUUCAUCCUUGAUGAAUUCUUUCAAAUAUUUGAGAACUAGUUAAUAAAUUUCAAUGCUUUGAGUUUUAUAUUUUCAAUGGGGUUUUUGAUGUGUGUUUAGGUUACCAGUGGUAGAUGAGAAAGGAGAUGGUUAAUGUUUGGAAGAGAGGGUGAUGAUGAUGGUGUCUCGUAAGGACUAAAGAUAGUAAGGAGA
rnacentral:lncRNA from 1 species